AACUCCCUAGCAGCAUGGCAAAUAGGUCCCAUAUGGGUCCCAUAAAGAUUGUCCCAUAUGAUCUCGAAAAUGCGGUUCUGACUGGAUCUCCUAAUACAAGCAACUACUUUUAGCCAAUGGCAGACGUGCACAGCCACCGCGGCCGCCAUUUUUAAAUUUUUGUUUCAAUUCGCCAUUUUGUUCUCCAGCAGCUGAGCGGAAAUUUAAGUGUUCUCCAGGAUCAAUUGCAAGCAGCAUUCGACUGUUCGACAAUACACAGAUGGCCUAUUCCAUGGUGAGUUUUUGGAAGAAGCAGAAGGUUUAAAGGGGCCAGUAGCUGUAAUUCCAGACAGCUGGCUGCUAGCAUUUUUAAAGAUUCCAGUGGUCGCAGGAUGUGCAACUGGCCAUCAAAAUCUUCAAGCUUCAUUAUUAAACACCAGAUUCCUCAUGGCCCAUACAUCCAGUUCGCUUGCACAAGUCAUUAAGACAAAGGAAGGAGAUAAAAAGAUGAUAUCUGGACUGUUGGAACAAGUAACAGGGAUGCACAGCUAACAGACAGCGAAGGAGAAAAGAAUGCCGAGGAAUCACUAUGUGAUGACCAUUCAAUGCAGCAGUGUCCACUACCAUUUCCAUACUCUCUGCCGCCAGUAGUUGUCAGCCCUAGGGUGUCCCCAAGUAGCAGCUAUCGCCAAAGUACUAUUUCACCUUUGCCUUCACAUCUCCAACACUCAUUCUCAGGUUUUCAUCCUGCCAGCAUAGGGACCCAACCCCUUGGAAGUUUCAGCUCAACUAGAGAAACUUGGGACAGCAGCAACUGUCUUUUCUGGAAGAGAUGAGAGAUGAUAUAAAAGAUGUGAAAAGGAGGCUUCAAGGAUGGAGAAACAACACCAGGAAAAGGAGGUGACAGGAGGAAAACUGCCAGAGGGGUUCCAGUUUCCCUUACAAUCUUCAGAGGAUGUUGACCAUCUGGAGUGGGAUUGGAAGACUGACCCUGGAAAAUGGACACACUUGGAAUGCCAUUUGACGAUGGGUGGAAUAUUCACUUUAAAGCAUGUGGUGAGGAGCAUACUAUCUGUGCUAUUGUCAACUGACUCAGCCCGGUGUUACAACUUCAAUGGUCUGAAAGAGAAGAAGGGACUCAAGAACCACUCCUUUAUUUUACAAACAGUUCAGGAUGCUGCAAGAAAAAGUUAUCCUGAAGCUACAGAUGCUGACCUGCAUGUGUAUACAUCAAUUUGGUUAGCUGGUGCUCGGGAUCGAGAAAAUAGCAGAAGGGAAGGGCCUGAGCACAGCCUGUACAAGUCAGUAAAUUGUUAUGGGGUGGACGACGAGUAAAGCUGUACAACUUUACCUGCAGAAAAAAAGACUGUUAGGUUUUUAACGAGAUUUUUUUUUAUCAGCUAUUUAUAAAAGUACAAGUUUUAAAUUUGCAUAUUUUUUUUAAAUGGUUGUAGUUAAUACCAGAAGCUGCAAUCCAGCCUGGAACCGUUUAUAUUUAAUCUCGUGGAUUUUAUUUAUUAUAAGAAAUGUCUGUUGAAGCUUUAAUCACUCCCUUUUGAAAGCAAUUCAGUUCAUGCUCAUCAUUUGAUAUAUUGUAAUAGAUCUUUGAACCUUUUCUUUGGGAAAAAUCUAAUUAAUGUAAAACUGCAAUUUAAUUUUAAUGGUUUUGUCAGUGGAUUCUUGUUUUUGCUUCUUCUACAACUCAUAAUCAAAUAACGAGUGUUGCAUUAACAUGUCAUGAGGAAACAUUUUUUUAUGCAUUUAAAUGGGACAAUGCUUCACAAUUGUUGUAUAUUUAAAAUUAUUUUUUUAAUGACCUUGCUUUUUAUCCUUAUUUUCACAGACAUUUUAACUUCAAUAAACGUCAGUAAAAGACAAAUCAUGUUUUUG
rnacentral:misc_RNA from 1 species